GGGCCCGCACAAGCGGAGGAACAUGUGGUUUAAUUCGAUGAUACGCGAGGAACCUUACCUGGGCUCGAACGCGGGGGGAAUGCCGGGGAAACCCGGCAGCCGGCAACGGCCGCCCGCGAGGUGCUGCAUGGUUGUCGUCAGCUCGUGCCGUGAGGUGUCGGGUUAAGUCCCAUAACGAGCGCAACCCCUACCGCCAGUUGCCAGCGGGUGAAGCCGGGGACUCUGGCGGGACUGCCGGCGUAAGCCGAGAGGAAGGCGGGGAUGACGUCAAAUCAGCACGGCCCUUACGUCCAGGGCUACACACGUGUUACAAUGGCCGGUACAGAGGGAGGCGACCCCGCGAGGGGGAGCGGAUCCCGAAAGCCGGUCGUAGUUCGGAUCGGGGUCUGGAACCCGACCCCGUGAAGCCGGAUUCGCUAGUAAUCGCGCAUCAGCCAUGGCGCGGUGAAUACGUUCCCGGGCCUU
rnacentral:rRNA from 1 species